rnacentral:rRNA from 1 species
CGCAUCUGUGCAUGCAGCAUAUCAAUAAGCGGAGGAAAAGAAACUAACAAGGAUUCCCCUAGUAACGGCGAGUGAAGCGGGAAGAGCUCAAAUUUGAAAUCUUAAAGGGUUUCCCUUUACGAAUUGUAGUUUAAAGAAGUGUUUUCUGUUGAGGUUUUGGUAAAAGUUCUUUGGAAUAGGACAUCAUAGAGGGUGAGAAUCCCGUAUUUGACCUUUACUUUCAACUUUGUGAUACACUUUCAAAGAGUCGGAUUGUUUGGGAAUGCAGUCCAAAAUGGGUGGUAAAUUUCAUCUAAAGCUAAAUAUUGGCGAGAGACCGAUAGCGAACAAGUACCGUGAGGGAAAGAUGAAAAGAACUUUGAAAAGAGAGUUAAACAGUACGUGAAAUUGUCAAGAGGGAAGCGUUUGACACCAGUGUUGUUUUUCUGAAAAUCAAUUAAAGAACUGUUUAUGCUAAGUUGUUUAGACUUUAUCAGCUAUCUGCUUUAGUUUUGAGCUUUUCUUUAAUGCACUUUUCAGUUAACAAGUCAACAUCAAUUUCUUUUGCCUGUAAAAAAGCUUGAGGAAGGUGGCUUGAGAUUCGUCUUAAGUGUUUAUAGCCUCUUGCCUAUGCAGUCGGAGAGAUUGAGGUCUGCAACGUAGAUCCUUCGGGGCUAAAUGCAUUUGUGCUAAGUUAUAGCAUUUUAUAGACAACUUGUUGACUAUGAUUUGUCUUGUAGCUUACUCGCUUAUGUUAUUUUACCUACGCUUAGGAUGUUGAGUCGUAGAGCACGCAG